CCUGGGGUGAAGAUUACUCGCCACCAAACGGCUGAAACAUUUAAAUCCCUUAUCCAACAAUCCUCCUCUGCAAACCCUAUUUCUUUUUUGCCGCAUCCUUUCCUCUCCAACUUUCUUCUUCGUUUUCCUGUCUUCUGAUGUAUGCAAAAAUCUUCUUCGUUUUCCUGUCUUUUGAUGCAUGCAAAAAGAAUCAAAGAUGCAACACAUAAAGGGUUCACCGUAGAUUUUUCUUUGUUCUUUUGUUCUGUAUUGAUUGUGUUCAUCUUUGGUUUUUGCAGGUGAGGGUUAAUCUCCCAGCACUAGAUGUGAUUGGGAGUGUAGGGAGUUAAUUUGUGGGGUGACUUUUAUCCCAACAUGUAUGUAGUCGGAUCGGUAGUUCUCCAAAACUCAUGCAUUUAAAAUCCAGUAUCUACAUAUCACGAUGCUCAUCAAAGGACAUCAACUUUGUGGACCUCACGUAUAGGAACUUUGAAAUUGUUAAGGAUCAUCAGAUACCUAGACCUAAGCACUGUCUCCAAACAUCAAACUGUUUCCAGCUCUUAUGCAUGUACAUUUUCAUUGAUAAACAAGUGCUCGGGUUCAACUCAUUUUAUAAUUUUGUGGUUUGGUAGAAAAUAUGAAAGUCUGUGUGUUACUGGACAUUUGGGAAUGUUUGAAAUUUAUGGAGCUCAGGGUUUGUUCCAAAAAAGAAAAGAAAAGAAAAAAAAAACAAUCUAUGAGCAAAGCGUGAAGGGAACAAAGGUGAGUAUAUAUAAGAUAUAUAGUAUUCGCAUUGCUACCUGACUUUGAUAAAUAUGGAAUCUCUAUAUGUAACUUUUAGAGGUAUGUAUACAUAUUCACAUGCUUAUAUUUCACGCUUAUAGCGUUAGCACCAUAUUUUCUUAUUAUAGUAGUGGUUAGUCAAUUUGGUUAUACUAAGGAAACAUGAGUUUUGAGUAACUGGAUCAGGGCUUUUCAUAAUCUAUGUAAUAUCCGUAACUCCCUCGUACCAUCAUUUCCCUUCUUAGAUCAACUGGUAGAGCACGUGGCAUUCUGCCUCGAGGAUGUGGGUUUGAUUCACACAAA